rnacentral:lncRNA from 1 species
CAAACCGGUCGAGGGUGAAAGAAUUCCAAAGGGUUUCCCCUUCAAGGAUUGUUUUGAAGAACUUGACAAAUUCUUCAGUCGGGAGAGUUGAAGCGAUGAAAGCUGCGAAAUGAAACAACGAAUUCGGUCAGUAAAAAAUAAUAAUGAACAAUAAAGGAAUAUACGACCUAGUCUCUACCAGGUUUCGCAGACCACUUCGAU